GAGAGUUUGGCCGAGUGGUCUAAGGUGCCAGAUUUAGGCUCUGCUCCUAAAGGGCGUGGGUUCAAAUCCCACAGCUUUCA
rfam:Picea glauca, whole genome shotgun sequence.